GUACCUCCAGGCAUCAAGUCUGUUCUAGGUGUGGGGAUACCUGGUGAAGACAAGAAUGUUCUCUUCUUCAAGGUGGAGUAGACAGAGAACAACCACGUGCAUGCCAACAUUCUGAGAAAACAGGCCCUUGUUGUUAAGAAGCAUCAGGGAGAUCAGAUGCCUGAAACAAGUGGCCACAGGAGGGAUGAAGAGAUACACUGGGACCCAUCACACAGGGAGGAAAGGGCCAUGUUGUAGAGCCAUCUUGCUGGCCCUGCACCCCAGGGUGUAGGAGAAGAUCUAGAUGUGCCCAGUGUACAGAAACUGGAACCUACCAUCUAAAUUUGACUGCCCCUCAGAUGUCUCUGGUUCUCAGCUUCCUGACCUGCAAAUGUGCAAGACUACACCAAUCUGCAGUCUCUUCUGGCUCUGAUUUCUGAAAAUCACGUAUUUUCAAAUCCUAGGAACAUUAUUCUUCUCUCUUAGCAUGCUAGAUUUCCUUUUAAAUGAAAGAAAUUUUAAUUUAAAAAAAAGUAACACAAAUAGCAUCAACAUGGAAAUAUAUUUGGGAAAGUAUCUGAUAUUCAAGAUUUCCAUGCAAUUAAAAAGAUAGGCCAUAGUGUCAGGCUCAGAUUCUAAUUCCAGCCAUUUCGGUGUCCCUAUUUUGCAUCCUCUGACCUCCAAGAGAUAUUCUGAAAAGUCUACCUUGAAUUUACUACUCAAAGACUUCAUCAAUCUAAGAAGACAUGCAUUAAUAAUGCCUUUUUGGAGAUGAAGAAAUUAAGUCAGAAAGUAGGGAUCCAGGGCCAAAAAACUAGUAAACGGAAAAAUCAGGAUUUUAACCCUGGAAAGCUUAACUCCAAAGUCUGUGCUUUCUGCCAUGUCUGACUGCUUCUCCAACUAAAAAACAUGUUUUAUUCUACUUUUUGUCACGUCCAAGUAUGGCGCAUGCUAAGCUUACUAUAGUUGCUUCAUGUUCCUAGUUUCUGAGAACAGAAGUUUGAAGGGAAUACAAGUGGUAAGCCAUUGGUGACUUCUCCACUUCAAUUAUGAGUUUAGACCCAAUUGUUUAUUCAUCAAAACAAACCUCAGAGCUGCCAACCACAGAUCUGGUCAUUGUGGGUUUUGUUUUGUUUUAUUUUUUAAUAAGGAGAGAAAGACCUAAUUUGGCAGAGGAGACCAAGAAGCCCGGGCUAUACAUUUGCAUAAAGAUGAUUACUAAAACUGAAGAAUUGCUUCUCAUAAAAAAAACUGAUGGAGUUAAAAAAAAAUCCAAAUGAAUUAAACCAGCAGUUCCUACCCUGUGAUUUGUAGAAAACUGUUUCUGAGAGAUGCUGGAAAGUAUUCUGGAGAAAACAAUUAAUCUGUUUACCAUUUGUAAAAUGGUAAAUUUGGAAAAUACUACAUUCUAACGAUAUCUUUUUCCUGGAGAUACUGAAUGCACGUCAGGCUAUCAAAGACUGGAAUGUUUUAAAGAAACAUGUUUAACUCUAUACUCCAACAAUUCCCAACAAAGAUAAAGUAAAUAAUUAAAUAACUAAUUACAAUCAGAA
rnacentral:lncRNA from 1 species